UGUGCACCGGUGGGGUCCCUUGGCCUGGCUUGUGGGGGUCAAAACAGGCUCUCUGAUAUCCCCCAAGGGGUCCCGGAUUGUGAGAGGGCACAGGCCAGGCCAAGGGACCCCACCAGUGCACG
rnacentral:pre_miRNA from 1 species